ensembl:lncRNA
CAACAAUAAGAGACAAUGCAAGUGCUUUAAAUUGGAAAUUGAUCUGCAUGUGGGGAUUUUCGAUGGAAGCAAUUAUUUCUUCAAGGGAAUCUUUGAUUUCUUCAAGACCAGGAACACGAAUGGAAAUGUUCUGUCUGUGGCCCAGCAUGAAGAGGACAAAAGUUGCAAACUAAGUAAGAAACAGCCACAGUCAUCUCAUAUUCAUCCGUCUAAAAAUCACCAUGCAGAGAGAAGGAGCUUGCAGAUGCUAAGUAUUUUCCCUUCAUGGAAUUCCUUGGGAUAUUGCAGCAGACUGGCCUGCUGGAAUGCACACAUUUAGUGGGAAGAUUUUGCAAACCAAAGAGAUCUGAACUCUCUAAUCACUAAGAGUGGGUUGGUCAUUUCUAAUCAUGGCCAUUGGUAUCUUGGCCUUGCUCUAGGACUGGUCCACAGAACGGUUGGGCAAGAGGAAACUUCUGUCUGCCUGGAGCUUCCCGGUGCUCUCAGGAAGUGAAAGCUCUACCAGUCACUGAGAAAAGUCAGAUUCAACAGCACAGAUCAAAAUCAACCAUGCACAUCAGCAGUACAUAUUACUCACAUUAUAACAUCAAGCACAGGGCUAAGGCUCUGGCUCUAGGAUCAGACCCCAGAGUAUGUGGCCCCAUAUUUCUUUACUCUAACAGCAGGAUUUGCCAACUACUUUUGAGCAACUGGGAAGAGAAGAAAAAAAACACUCACACAACACAGAGAUGCAUUUGAACCAGAGUCAAACCUUUCAAAUUUCAAAGCUCUGAACUAACAGCAAACAAUUGAAGGGAGACAAGAUUGAAAUAGCCUGUAGUCUUCUGUGAUGACGAAUUUCUGCUGUACCAUGAAAGCACUGUGGAAGAGAGCCCUGCCAUCUAUGUAAAUACACUUAAAGAGCAGAAGAUCUUCUGCGCUCUCUUUGUAGUUGUGAACGUGCUGUGUGUGCAAGGCAGAAGGUUGUGACAUGUCAUAAACUUCUCUAAUUUCUGCGGUCUUUUUACAGUCAUGAAUAGCAGUCAAUCUCUCUAAGCAACCCAUUCUGGAUUUUGGUUUAAAACCACUACAUAUUUGAAGUUAGAAACAAGAGAUAUUUUAGUAUUCUACCUCUUUCAACAUGUACUUUCUGUCUUGAUUUAAGUCCAAGAACUUAGUAAUAUGGUAGGCAGAAACUCACCUGUCAGAGAAGUUUACUUUUUUGGACAAAUGUUAUGCUAGAAAUCAUGGGAUGAUUUCAGAUAUUUUCAUCAUUAAAAGAAAUGUUGGAGUAAACCAUGGACAUGUGGACAUGAACUGAUGUGAAGUGAAU